AGAAAGAAGAAGAAAAGAGGAUAAAUAUGAGUGCGUGAAGAAAAUGUGAUAAAAGAGAAGAAGAAGAAGAAAAGAGGAUAAAUAUGAGUGCGUGAAGAAAAUGUGAUAAAAGAGAAGAAGAAGAAGAAAAGAGGAUAAAUAUGAGUGCGUGAAGAAAAUGUGAUAAAAGAGAAAAAGAAGAAGAAAAUUGGAUAAAUAUGAGUGCGUGAAGAAAAUGUGAUAAAAGAGAAUGAUAAGAAAAGGACAUCAAACCGACAUUGUGAUUUAGGGAUAAACAAACAAACAAACAAACAAACAAACAACAAAAAGAAAGAAAGUAACACACGAACUAGCAGAAGACAAAACGAAAAUUAUAAAUAAAAUAAAAAAAAUCGUAAGGAAGAGAUUUAAAGGUUGAUAAAAUAAAGGAAAAGGAAAAAAAAGAGAGAGAGAGAGGGAAAAUAAUAAGUACACGAGGGAAUAAAAGAUCAAGAAAUAAAAUAAUAAAGAAAAUAAAAGAAAAUAAAAAAAAGAUCAUGGCAAAAAGUACGAUAAUUAGGGGGAAAAAAAAUCGUUUGCAUAUACGAUUCAGGGCCGUCUUGUUUUCUCUCUCUCUCUCUCUCUCUCUCUCUCUCUCUCUCUCUCUCUCUCUCUCUCUCUCUCUCUCUCUCUCUCUCUCUCUCUCUCUCUCUCUCUCUCUCU